rnacentral:rRNA from 1 species
CUAUCUGCCCUGCACUCUGGGACAAGCCCUGGAAACGUGGUCUAAUACCGGAUAUGACUACCGAUCGCAUGGUUGGUGGUGGAAAGCUCCGGCGGUGCAGGAUGAGCCCGCGGCCUAUCAGCUUGUUGGUGGGGUGAUGGCCUACCAAGGCGACGACGGGUAGCCGGCCUGAGAGGGCGACCGGCCACACUGGGACUGAGACACGGCCCAGACUCCUACGGGAGGCAGCAGUGGGGAAUAUUGCACAAUGGGCGAAAGCCUGAUGCAGCGACGCCGCGUGAGGGAUGACGGCCUUCGGGUUGUAAACCUCUUUCAGCAGGGAAGAAGCGAGAGUGACGGUACCUGCAGAAGAAGCGCCGGCUAACUACGUGCCAGCAGCCGCGGUAAUACGUAGGGCGCGAGCGUUGUCCGGAAUUAUUGGGCGUAAAGAGCUCGUAGGCGGCUUGUCACGUCGGAUGUGAAAGCCCGGGGCUUAACCCCGGGUCUGCAUUCGAUACGGGCAGGCUAGAGUUCGGUAGGGGAGAUCGGAAUUCCUGGUGUAGCGGUGAAAUGCGCAGAUAUCAGGAGGAACACCGGUGGCGAAGGCGGAUCUC